AUUGAACGCUGGCGGCAGGCCUAACACAUGCAAGUCGAACGAGUGGCGGACGGGUGAGUAAUGUCUGGGAAACUGCCUGAUGGAGGGGGAUAACUACUGGAAACGGUAGCUAAUACCGCAUACCAUCGGAUGUGCCCAGAUGGGACUAGCUAGUAGGUGGGGUAAAGACUCACCUAGGCGACGAUCCCUAGCUGGUCUGAGAGGAUGACAAGCGACACUGGAACUGAGAAACGGUCCAGAAUCCUACGAGAGGCAGCGGUGGGGAAUAUUGGACAAGGGGCGUAAACAUGAUGCAGCCAUGCCGAGUGUGUGAAGAGGGUCUUAGGGUUGUAAAGGACUUUAGGCGGGGAAGCGGUAACGGCAGAAGAAGCACCGGCGAACUCCGUGCCAGCAGCAGCGGGAAUAA
rnacentral:rRNA from 1 species